rnacentral:rRNA from 1 species
UACGUAGGGCGCAAGCGUUGUCCGGAAUUAUUGGGCGUAAAGAGCUCGUAGGCGGCCUGUUACGUCUGCUGUGAAAUCCCGGGGCUUAACCCCGGGCGUGCAGUGGAUACGGGCAGGCUGGAGGCAGGCAGGGGAGAACGGAAUUCCCGGUGUAGCGGUGAAAUGCGCAGAUAUCGGGAGGAACACCGGUGGCGAAGGCGGUUCUCUGGGCCUUACCUGACACUGAGGA